rnacentral:rRNA from 1 species
GCUUUGAAGUGUGGACGCCAGUCUGCAUGGAGCCGACCUUGAAAUACCACCCUUUAAUGUUUGAUGUUCUAACGUUGACCCGUGAUCCGGGUUGCGGACAGUGUCUGGUGGGUAGUUUGACUGGGGCGGUCUCCUCCUAAAGAGUAACGGAGGAGCACGAAGGUUGGCUAAUCCUGGUCGGACAUCAGGAGGUUAGUGCAAUGGCAUAAGCCAGCUUGACUGCGAGCGUGACGGCGCGAGCAGGUGCGAAAGCAGGUCAUAGUGAUCCGGUGGUUCUGAAUGGAAGGGCCAUCGCUCAACGGAUAAAAGGUACUCCGGGGAUAACAGGCUGAUACCGCCCAAGAGUUCAUAUCGACGGCGGUGUUUGGCACCUCGAUGUCGGCUCAUCACAUCCUGGGGCUGAAGUAGGUCCCAAGGGUAUGGCUGUUCGCCAUUUAAAGUGGUACGCGAGCUGGGUUUAGAACGUCGUGAGACAGUUCGGUCCCUAUCUGCCGUGGGCGCUGGAGAACUGAGGGGGGCUGCUCCUAGUACGAGAGGACCGGAGUGGACGCAUCACUGGUGUUCGGGUUGUCAUGCCAAUGGCACUGCCCGGUAGCUAAAUGCGGAAGAGAUAAGUGCUGAAAGCAUCUAAGCACGAAACUUGCC